rnacentral:rRNA from 1 species
GACGAACGCUGGCGGCGUGCUUAACAUAUGCAAGUCGAACGGAAAGGCCCCCACCUUGGUGGGGGUGCUCGAGUGGCGAACGGGUGAGUAACACGUGGGUGCUCUGCCCUGUACUUCGGGAUAAUCUUGGGAAACUGGGUCUAAUCCCGGAUAGGACCAUGGUUUAGUGUCUCGUGGUGGAAAAUUUAUUGUUUUGGUGCAGGAUGAGCUCGCGGCCUAUCAUCUUGUUGGUGGGGUAGUGGCCUACCAAGGCGUCGGCGUGUAGCCGGCCUGAGAGGGUGGACGGCCACAUGGGGACCGAGCUACGGCCCAGACGCCUACGGGAGGCAGCAGUGGGGGAUAGUGCAAGAUGGGCGCAAGCCUGAUGCAGCGGCGCCGCGUGGGGGAUGACGGCCUUCGGGUUGUAAACUCCUUUCGUUAGGGACGAAGCCACACCUUGUUUGGGUGUGGUGACGGUACCUUUGUUAAGAAGCACCGGCUAACUACGUG